rnacentral:tRNA from 1 species
GCAGGUAUAGCUUAGUGGUAGAGUGCAUGCUUAGCAUGCAGGAGUUCCUGGGUUAAAUCCCCAGUACCUCCA